GACGAACGCUGGCGGCGUGCUUAACACAUGCAAGUCGAACGGAAAGGCCCUGCUUUUGCGGGGUGCUCGAGUGGCGAACGGGUGAGUAACACGUGAGUAACCUGCCCUUGACUUUGGGAUAACUUCAGGAAACUGGGGCUAAUACCGGAUAGGAUCUCCUGCUGCAUGGUGGGGGUUGGAAAGUUUCGGCGGUUGGGGAUGGACUCGCGGCUUAUCAGCUUGUUGGUGGGGUAGUGGCUUACCAAGGCUUUGACGGGUAGCCGGCCUGAGAGGGUGACCGGCCACAUUGGGACUGAGAUACGGCCCAGACUCCUACGGGAGGCAGCAGUGGGGAAUAUUGCACAAUGGGCGGAAGCCUGAUGCAGCAACGCCGCGUGCGGGAUGACGGCCUUCGGGUUGUAAACCGCUUUCGCCUGUGACGAAGCGUGAGUGACGGUAAUGGGUAAAGAAGCAACGGCUAACUACGUG
rnacentral:rRNA from 1 species